rnacentral:snoRNA from 1 species
GCAUGGCUGAAUACUGUGUCUUUCUGUCAGUAAUUUACACAGCCAGACACCAUGCAAAAGUGUGUCUUCCCUUUAAGAUGUUCAUGAUGUGUGCUACAUUUUGUUCAUGGCAUAUCAUUAGUAAAGGUGAAUACAAAU